AUGGAACAAUGUAGGCAAGGGAAGUCGGCAAAACGGAUCCGUAACUUUGGGAAAAGGAUUGGCUCUGAGGACUGGGCUCGGGGGUCCAGGCCCCGAACCCGUCGGCUGUCGGCGGAUUGCUCGAGCUGCUCACGCGGCGAGAGCGGGUCGCCGCGUGCCGGCCGGGGGACGGAUCGGGAAUCGCCCCUUCGGGGGCUUUCCCUGAGCAUGAAACAGUCGACUCAGAACUGGUACGGACAUGGGGAAUCCGACUGUUUAAUUAAAACAAAGCAUUGCGAUUGA
rnacentral:rRNA from 1 species